GAUGAACGCUGGCGGCGUGCCUAAUACAUGCAAGUCGAGCGAACAGACGUGGAUCUUGUUCCUCUGACGUUAGCGACGGGCGGGUAAGUAACACGUGGAUAACCACCCUAUCAGACUGGGAUAACUUCUGGAAACCGGAGCUAAUACCGGAUGAUAUAUUGAACCGCAUGGUUCAAUUGUGACAGACUGUUUUGCUGUUGCUUAAAUAUCUAACCGCGCCGCUUUAGCUAGUUGGUAAGGUAAUGGCUAACCAAGGCAACGAUGCGUAGCCGACCCGGGAGGUGGAUAGUCCACACUGGGAGUGAGAGACGGGCCAGACUGCGACGGGGAGCAGCAGUAGGGAAUCACCCGAGAUGGCCGAGAGCAUGACGCAGCAACGCGCCGUGGGUGAUGAAGGUCUUCGGGUCGUGAAACAGUAUGAUUACGGAAGGAGAAAUGUGUAAGUAAGUAUGCAAGUAAUGACGGUACCUGAGCAGAAAGCAACGGCUAACUCCGUG
rnacentral:rRNA from 1 species